CAAAUUUAGAAAAUGUCUCAUCCAGCGUAAAGAAGCUUGAAACCCUAAAUUGAACCUCAGCAUAUAAAUGUGCUUGCUGUAUUUGCGAAGGUUUCUAUCGCGACGACCGAGGGCGGGAUUUUGAAACUCCGGAGAUAGCAGAUUUCGGGUGCGAGAUCACGAGGGCACCCGCUACACCCCGCUGCUGUGCUUUCACCAAUGGCAAGAAAUGCUCUGCCUAGUGAGGCAGAAAGGUGCCAUGAAAUCUCCGCAAGCGAAAUGCAUGGCAGUCUGGCACCAGGCAAGAGACGGGCGGAGGGAACAAGGGCGGAGCUCAUGAGGAAACGGGAGAGGAGAGAAACAGUUCCAGACAGCUGCGGAGGAGCAGGUGGUAUGGUGGAGCGCACGCGAAAGAAAGAGGUGCGCAACCGCAGCAAUGGAAUGGGCCGAAGGUUCCAGAAAGUGGAAAGGAUAUGGACCGAGAGGAUAAAUUACUGCUUCAAUGGCUUCUCUUAGCCUCCUCCUUUGCCUUCCCUUCCCUUGUCUCUUGCGUUUCUUGCAACAUCUUCCAUCGCCGAUGGCAUAUCUACUACAAGCAGUGGUGAACACAAACAUGAAAGCAGAAGUGCUGUCCACAGAGAGAGAGAGAGAGAGAGAGAGAGAGCCAUGUGCGGAUGUUGUAGAUGUUGCAUGGGUUGAGCUGCCUUUUGGUGUCGAGCAGAGGAGUCGAAGGAUUGAUCCGAAGUUGAAAUGGAGUAGUCUACAACUGGAUGUGAGGUUCCCGCUUUUAAUGAUUCCUUGUAUUGGUCUCUAGAGGGCGGCAAAGGAGAGGGGGAGGGAGAAGGUGGGGGUUGCAUUCAGGAAUGAUGUUCCUCCCUCUAGAUACGUGCUUACUUCUCCUCCUCCUCCUCCUCCUGCUGCUGCCCUUGUCGUUUACUUCCUCUUCGUCUUCUAAUUCUUCUGCGUAGAGUAGCGUAGGUUCAAGCGGCACUGGGCAAGGGAAGGUAUCCCUUCCUGGAGCAGUUGUCGUGUUGAGCUUGGAAUUGUGCUGCAUUCUUCUCCUCCCAUGCCAUUGCCUUCCAUGGAUUGGGUUCCGUUUCAAGUAUCCAGUUGUUCCUUCUAAAACUCGAACAUGUUCCUCAACUUCUGGUGUCACCCAGAAGGUGAACUCAAUUUUGAAAUAUCAAUUUCUCGGGGAAAAACACUUGAAUUUUGAA